AAAAUAAAACAGUCUUCAAGAUGAAGCAAAUUACCCCAAAUGCAUUUUUGAAUCAGAUGAGAACAUGUUAGUGCAAGUGCACUUUGAAGCAGAACACUUGACUAAGACACAGAGAAGCAUCGAUAGUAUAUUCAUAAGUGUUUGCUGGUUCUUUAGAGUAUCACUGAUUGCAUCUCUUCUCCUUUCUUCAGAACGUUCUCAAAAUAGGUAUGAUUCCAGUCUCCAACUGAACUGAGCCACCUGGUACCCUGUCCUAGGAAAACAAAGGUCUCAGAUCCCCAAGAAAUUAUUAGGACAUAAGGAAUAUAUCAUAGGCAUACUUUCAGUUACUUGAUUGAGGAUGUAGGGAUUUCUGUUUAUGUGAUGAGACUGGAUUUCAGCAAGAUAUUUAAAAAAAAAAAUCUUACGAUAUUCUUUCAGAGAAGAUGGGAAAAUAUGGGCAUCUUGGAAAUGGAAAUAUUGACAAAGUGAGAUUGGUCCAGUGAAGGAUCCUGAUACCAUACUCUUUGAAAAAUGAUUGAAGAAAUGGAAUAUAUUUAACCUGGAAAGAAGAUAAGGGGAUUCUUGAGGUAUGUAUAUGAUAGACUUGCAUGAGGUUGAGAGAUUAGAGGUUUUUUGCUUGGGUCCAAAAUGUACAGCAUGGGUCAGGUGGUACUAUUUACAAGGAGAAUUAAUAUUAGAAAGAGCUUCCUUGAAAUUAAGCUACGCAGAUUAUGGAUCCUGCCUCAGUGGAGGUGGAGUUCAUCAUUGCUCAAGAUUUUCAAGCUGGAUAAGCACUCAUCAGAUAUGAAUAGGUGAGAUUACUGAAUGAGUUGUGGGAGGCUCUCAGAAUUGGAGUUGUGUAGACAGAUCAUGCAAGACCUCUAGAAACUGGACUGAUCUCUCUGGUGGAGCUGAAAAUCUGGGCAAAUUUUCUCUUUUAGGGAAAGAAAGAAAGGUUCAGGAGAGUCUAACCCAACCCAAUGCCCUCGAGUCAAUUGGCAGCAUGAAAAUCAGGAUUUUGGAGUGUAGGCUGGGGACUGCAAUUAGGAAUAGCAUAAGAAUAACUUCAAGUAACUUAAAAAAAAAAGUUAAACAUGACAUGUGUCUUAAUUUCCUAGAGCUGCCAUAAUAAAAUACCACAAUGUGGGUGGAUUUAAAGAACAAAAAUUUAUUGUCUCACAGUUCUGGAGGCUGGAGGUCUGAAUUCAGGGCAUGGGCAGGGGAAAGAUCCUUUAUUGCCUCUUUCAGCUUCUGUUAGUCCUUGUUUCUUGGCACUCCUUGGCUUGUAGACCUUGUAGACAUAUCCUCAUAUCUGUAGACAGGUCCUGGAACAAGGCACUUUCCUCCAAAAAUAAUUGAUAUUUUGUUCUGCCAGGCACCUGGGGGCACUU